rnacentral:lncRNA from 1 species
GCAGGCGGUGCAAGCGGUGCGCAUGCGCGAGUGUCCCUGCGGAAAGCCGGCUGAAGUAGAGCCCAAGAGCUCAUGGAGCCUCCAUGUCCUCGUAUGCAAAUUGGAGAGUACAACUGGGCAAGUGUUGUGGACACUUGCUGCCUUGGACUCCAUGAAAUUCCAAUAGAAAACUUCGAAAAUAUUUUGGAAAAACAUCCCUGAAUUAGGUUUGUCAUACAACUUUCU